rnacentral:rRNA from 4 species
UUUGACCUCGGAUCAGGUAGGAAUACCCGCUGAACUU